GGAUGCCUCAGAGGAUUCUUUUCCCCAGCUUGAAACACUUGUUAUAAAAGGGUGUGACAAGCUCAACGCGAUCCCCUUUAGCUUUGUAGAUAUUCCAAAACUGCAACAGAUUAAGUUGCUUAACUGCAUGAAUAAGUCACUGGAGGCUUCAGCUGUGAAAAUUAAGGAAGAAGUCAGCGAUAUUGAAGGAUGCGACCGUAUUGACAUCACUAUCGGAGAUAAGUGGGGAAAUCUAAAGCACUUGUGAGUCAAGCAUGUGAUUAGCUCGUAACAAGGACAUGGUAUCCAUAAUUUCUCCAUGUGGCACGCCCUACACUGGAUUUGUUGUUGUUGUUGGCUGAUGAUUAGCAGGUGUACUUAGAUCUCAAACCGGUGAGGAUGUUUCUGAAUUUGACAAUUACUUUGACAACUUCUGCAAAAGCACAUUCAGCUUGCCGACAUGCCUAUCCUCUCAUAUUGUAACAGGAUUACUGAUUGCUAAGUGUGUUUUGAUUGAUCAACUGUCAGACGAUCUUUCACUGUGAUUUCUUUUUGCCUUUCUUAUGCAGCUUUAUAAUUUUAGAACCAGACAAAUCAUUGUUUCGUUUUUUUUUCUUCAAUUUGGUAGUCGUUUACUCCUUUUA